rnacentral:sRNA from 1 species
AGUCCUCGUUAGGUGAGGCUCCUAUACAAACAUAGGCUACUGCCCGGAAACAUCGAAAGAUGCCAAUGGGUAGAACAGGAAUUGCCGGCUUAAGGCUUUUCAUAAGGUAGCUAAGGUUUAACCUUUACGUUGUAUAGUGCCAAAGCUCGACAUG